ACGACUCUCGACAACGGAUAUCUAGGCUCUCGCAUCGAUGAAGAACGUAGCAAAAUGCGAUACUUGGUGUGAAUUGCAGAAUCCCGUGAAUCAUCGAGUUUUUGAACGCAAGUUGCGCCCGAAGUCAUUAGGCCGAGGGCACGUCUGCCUGGGUGUCAC
rnacentral:rRNA from 7 species